UUUUUCCUUCCCGCCGUGCCCCGCGGCCAGGCCGGGGCAGCUGGGAAGCGGGUGGGGUGGUGUGUUACCCAGUAGCUCCUGGGACAUCGCUCGGGUACGCUCCACGCCGUCGCAGCCACUGCUGUGGUCGCCGGUCGGCCGAGGGGCCGCGAUACUGGUUGCCCGCGGUGUAAGCAGAAUUCGACGUGUAUCGCUGCCGUGAAGAUGGAGGGGCCUUUGUCCGUGUUCGGUGACCGCAGCACUGGGGAAACGAUCCGCUCCCAGAACGUUAUGGCUGCAGCUUCGAUUGCCAAUAUUGUAAAAAGUUCUCUUGGUCCAGUUGGCUUGGAUAAAAUGUUGGUGGAUGAUAUUGGUGAUGUAACCAUUACUAACGAUGGUGCAACCAUCCUGAAGUUACUGGAGGUAGAACAUCCUGCAGCUAAAGUUCUUUGUGAGCUGGCUGAUCUGCAAGACAAAGAAGUUGGAGAUGGAACUACUUCAGUGGCAUGCCCAAGAGAAUCGUAAAUGCAAAAAUUGCUUGCCUUGACUUCAGCCUGCAAAAAACAAAAAUGAAGCUUGGUG
rnacentral:sRNA from 1 species